UUGCCCCAGUAACGGCGAGUGAAGCGGCAACAGCUCAGAUUUGAAAUCUGGCCCCCCCCGGGGGUCCGAGUUGUAAUCUGUAGAGGAUGCUUCGGGCAAGGCGGCGCUCCAACUCGCUUGGGACAGCGGGUCGCAGAGGGUGAGAACCCCGUCCAGGAUCGCGGGCCGCGCCCGGGUGAAGCUCCUUCGACGAGUCGAGUUGUUUGGGAAUGCAGCUCAAAGCGGGUGGUAAAUUCCAUCUAAAGCUAAAUACGGGCCAGAGACCGAUAGCGGACAAGUAGAGUGAUCGAAAGAUGAAAAGCACUUUGAAAAGAGAGUUAAACAGUAUGUGAAAUUGUUGAAAGGGAAGCGCUGGCCACCAGACCUGCGGGCGGCGGUUCCCCCGGUCCUCGUGACCGGGUUACUCCGUCGCCCCCAGACCAGCAUCGGUCCGGGCGGCCGGUGAAAGGUCCCGGGAACGUAUCUACCGUCAGGUCGACUUACAGCCCGGGGCGCCAUGCGGCCCGCCCGGACCGAGGGACGCGCUCCGGCACGGAUGUUGGUGCAAUGGUGGUCAGCGGCCCGUCUUGAAACACGGACCAAGGAGUCUAACAUCCAUGCGAGUGUUUGGGUGUCAAACCCCGGCGCGGAAUGAAAGUGAACGCAGGUGAGAACCCCCUGAGGGGCGCAUCAUCGACCGAUCCGGAUGUCCUCGGAUGGAUUUGAGUAAGAGCAUGGCUGUUGGGACCCGAAAGAUGGUGAACUAUGCCUGGAUAGGGUGAAGCCAGAGGAAACUCUGGUGGAGGCUCGCAGCGGUUCUGACGUGCAAAUCGAUCGUCGAAUCUGGGUAUAGGGGCGAAAGACCAAUCGAACCGUCUGGUAGCUGGUUCCUGCCGAAGUUUCCCUCAGGAUAGCAGUAGCGGAUUCAGUUUUAUGAGGUAAAGCGAAUGAUUAGAGGCCUUGGGGUUGAAACAACCUUAACCUAUUCUCAAACUUUAAAUAUGUAAGAAGUC
rnacentral:rRNA from 1 species